UAGACGUUUUGUUACUGUUGAAACUUUCUGGGACUGAACUUACUGCUCUGUAAAGUGGGGAUUCUCAGUCAGAAAUUUACAAGGUGACGUUCGCAUGGAACUUUGCACUCCGCACAGCUCCACGCUUGGCAUCAAGUCUUCUCUCAGGGAGAGCUGCUGGCAUGUGGCAUGUGGCAUCCUUUGCCCUGGAUUGGGACUGAUGUGGCUGAUGCCAGGAGUGGGGAGCAGGAGGCUGACAGAGCCAAGCCUGCGGUCUGAUGAGGAGGACUGGGGUUGACUCUGGAGAGCUCCCGCAGGGCCACUGCUGCCCCAGUGGUUGCCUGGCAACAGCCUGUCCAUCGCUCCUUCCAGCCCAGCCCUGAGGCUGCAUGACUGCUGUCCCUGGGGUGCCUGUGAUGAGAGUGUCCUGCAUCCCCUUUCCCCAUGGACCAGAUGCAAACCAGGGUUCCAGGGCCAUCAGCCCUGUGGGUGAGGACUGCUCAGUGCACACAGCAAGGACUGCUCAGGGCACACGGCGAGGCGCUCAGUACACACGGCGAGGUGCUCAGGGCACACGGCGAGGCGCUCAGUACACACGGCGAGGUGCUCAGUACACACGGCGAGGUGCUCAGUGCACACGGUGAGGACUGCUCAGUACACACGGCGAGGACUGCUCAGGGCACACGGCGAGGACUGCUCAGUGCACACAGCGAGGUGCUCAGUGCACACGAGGGGUGUGAAUAUGCCGGUGUUGUCGAUAAGGAACCCAAGACCGGGAGGGAUGAAGAGUCAAAGCUGCGUACGUGUCCAGCUAUGAACACAAGCUAAUCGGCCUUUGAGGCGUGGGCUCUGCGACGUCCUCCUGUUCCCCAGUGGCCCUCUCCAGGCCUUCAUGUACGCCGUGUCCAUGCUGACAGCUGAUAGGUGCCGCACUCAGGCUGCAGAAUCCGGUCCGCUCCGUGUCUCCCCACAUCCUCAUGGACGAGGUGCUCCUCCUAGAGCUCAUUUAUCUCCUUCUCUUCCUGCAAAACGUUCCCCUUUCUGAAGAUCUAUUUCUAGAUCUAUUUUAGAUGAUCUAUUUCUAAAAUUCCUUAACUUACUAAGGUUUAUUUUACUUGUCGAUGAUAUGGUCUCA
rnacentral:lncRNA from 1 species